GACGAACGCUGGCGGCGUGCCUAAUACAUGCAAGUAGAACGCUGAAGGAGGAGCUUGCUUCUCUGGAUGAGUUGCGAACGGGUGAGUAACGCGUAGGUAACCUGCCUGGUAGCGGGGGAUAACUAUUGGAAACGAUAGCUAAUACCGCAUAAUAGUAGAUGUUGCAUGACAUUUGCCUAAAAGGUGCAAUUGCAUCACUACCAGAUGGACCUGCGUUGUAUUAGCUAGUUGGUGGGGUAACGGCUCACCAAGGCGACGAUACAUAGCCGACCUGAGAGGGUGAUCGGCCACACUGGGACUGAGACACGGCCCAGACUACUACGGGAGGCAGCAGUAGGGAAUCGUCGGCAAUGGACGGAAGUCUGACCGAGCAACGCCGCGUGAGUGAAGAAGGUUUUCGGAUCGUAAAGCUCUGUUGUAAGAGAAGAACGGGUGUGAGAGUGGAAAGUUCACACUGUGACGGUAUCUGAACAGAAAGGGACGGCUAACUACGUG
rnacentral:rRNA from 1 species